GACGAACGCUGGCGGCGUGCUUAACACAUGCAAGUCGAACGAAGAGCGAUGGAAGCUUGCUUCUAUCGAUCUUAGUGGCGAACGGGUGAGUAACGCGUAAUCAACCUGCCCUUCAGAGGGGGACAACAGUUGGAAACGACUGCUAAUACCGCAUACGAUCUAACCUCGGCAUCGAGGAAAGAUGAAAGGUGGCCUCUAUGUAUAAGCUAUCACUGAAGGAGGGGAUUGCGUCUGAUUAGCUAGUUGGAGGGGUAACGGCCCACCAAGGCGAUGAUCAGUAGCCGGUCUGAGAGGAUGAACGGCCACAUUGGGACUGAGACACGGCCCAGACUCCUACGGGAGGCAGCAGUGGGGAAUCUUCCGCAAUGGACGAAAGUCUGACGGAGCAACGCCGCGUGAGUGAUGACGGCCUUCGGGUUGUAAAGCUCUGUUAAUCGGGACGAAAGGCCUUCUUGCGAAUAGUGAGAAGGAUUGACGGUACCGGAAUAGAAAGCCACGGCUAACUACGUG
rnacentral:rRNA from 1 species